rnacentral:rRNA from 1 species
UACGAAGGGGGCAAGCGUUGUUCGGAAUGACUGGGCGUAAAGGGCGCGUAGGCGGCUUUGUAAGUUAGAGGUGAAAGCCCGGGGCUCAACUCCGGAAUUGCCUUUAAGACUGCAUCGCUAGAAUUGUGGAGAGGUAAGUGGAAUUCCGAGUGUAGAGGUGAAAUUCGUAGAUAUUCGGAAGAACACCAGUGGCGAAGGCGACUUACUGGACACAUAUUGACGCUGAGGUGCGAAAGCGUGGGGAGCAAACAGG